rnacentral:rRNA from 1 species
ACUGCUAUCGGAUUGAUACUAAGCCAUGCGAGUCUUUGUAGCAAUACAAGGCAGACGGCUCAGUAACACGUAGUCAAUCUACCCUAUGGACGGGGAUAACCUCGGGAAACUGAGAAUAAUACCCGAUAGAUCAUUAUGCCUGGAAUGGUCUAUGGUCGAAAUGAUUUAUCGCCGUAGGAUGGGACUGCGGUCUAUCAGCUUGUUGGUGAGGUAAUGGCCCACCAAGGCUAUAACAGAUACGGGCUCUGAGAGGAGAAGCCCGGAGAUGGGUACUGAGACACGGACCAGGCCCUAUGGGGCGCAGCAGGCGAGAAAACUUUGCAAUGUGCGAAAGCACGACAAGGUUAAUCCGAGUGUUUUCUGCUAAAGAAAUCUUUUGUCAGUCCUAAAGACACUGAUGAAUAAGGGGUGGGCAAGUUCUGGUGUCAGCCGCCGCGGUAAAACCAGCACCUCAAGUGGUCAGGAGGAUUAUUGGGCCUAAAGCAUCCGUAGCCGGCCGUGUAAGUUUUCGGUUAAAUCUAUACGCUCGACGUAUAGGCUGCCGGGAAUACUGCACAGCUAGGGAGUGGGAGAGGUAGACGGUACUCGGUAGGAAGGGGUAAAAUCCUUUGAUCUAUUGAUGACCACCUGUGGCGAAGGCGGUCUACUAGAACACGUCCGACGGUGAGGGAUGAAAGCUGGGGGAGCAAACCGGAUUAGAUACCCGGGUAGUCCCAGCUGUAAACAAUGCAAACUCAGUGAUGCACUGGCUUGUGGCCAGUGCAGUGCCGCAGGGAAGCCGUUAAGUUUGCCGCCUGGGAGGUACGUACGCAAGUAUGAAACUUAAAGGAAUUGGCGGGGGAGCACCACAAGGGGUGAAG